UACGGGGGGGGCAAGCGUUGUUCGGAAUUACUGGGCGUAAGGGCUCGUAGGUGGCCAACUAAGUCAGACGUGAAAUCCCCAGGCUUAACCUGGGAACUGCGUCUGAUACUGGAUGGCUUGAAUUCGGGAGAGGGAUGCAGAAUUCCAGGUGUAGCGGUGAAAUGCGUAGAUAUCUGGAGGAAUACCGGUGGCGAAGGCGGCAUCCUGGACCGAGAUUGACACUGAGGAGCGAAAGCUAGGGGAGCAAACGGG
rnacentral:rRNA from 1 species